UGGUGCACGGCGCCCCCUGGCGGGCCUCGGGGAGGCGGCCUCCUGCGUGCCCGGACCGCUCGCUGCGCCUUCCCGCCUGGCUUCCGGUUACCCAACCUCAUCUCGCCCGAGCCUCAUCUGUAGCUCACCGUCCUGUGCGCCCUGUGCUGUUGGCAGGGCGUGUGGGAUUUAGAGGGUUUUCUAUACUGAGUCUUCCUCGGAGCAGGUGAAUUCUGCAUAGCUGGCCCAGUUCUGUGUCUUAAGUAUGGGGAGAGAGUGGGGGCUGGAGAAAUCACUAGCAGGGGAGGAGCCCUGAGGUUGCCGAGGGGGAUCGGAGCUACUUCCCAAGGCGCCUACACCGCCCGUAGACUGGGAAACUACGGUCACAAAGGGUCAGCGCAUUCCCCAAGGUCCCAGAGCCACACGCAGCAUGGCUGGCAUUUGAAAGUCAAAGCAGAGGAAGCAGGCAGGUGGCUCUUGUUGAACUGGCUUCCAGAGUCUGUGUUGGGCAGAGAGAUCCUUCCCCGAGAGUGGAGUGGCCUCGUGCUCACCUGGGUUCAGCGUCAAGGUUCACCUGGAAUCACCUGCACUCUUGUCCUUGACCAAGGCAGGGUGGUUAGCCAUGGGCUGAUAGCCUUGGAGAGCCUGAUUCAGCCUUUGGGUAGAGCUGGGUCAGUCCAGCCUCAGGGCCAUCACUCACCCGAAGCAUUGUGGUAACCUGCCUGCCCCUGGAGACCCCGGGUGUGGGGCAGGGUGACCGUGGUGGAGAGUGGGAGCUGGCAGAGGUAAGGAGGCACACGUCUGCCACAGCACCAGAGCUCAGGGCGCCUGAGAAGCAAGGUCAUAGCGUCCUGUUCUUGGACCCCGUCAGUCUCCACAGCUAUAGGGGGCUCCAUUGAAAAGAGUGUGCCAGACCUUCUCUGUCUGUGCCCUGGUGAGGGCUCACUCACUCUCCAGGCUUGCUGGGGGAGGAGGCACGAACUUCGGUGGAAAGAACAGAACUCAGGAGCCAGAGAAUGGAGUUUGACUCCUGCCUCGGACACUCAUGUAUAAAGUGAGGAUAGUAAUACUGCUGAAUCCCUGGGUCUGUUAGAGAAUGAAGCGAG
rnacentral:lncRNA from 1 species